rnacentral:sRNA from 1 species
ACGUCAUGAUUAAUGAGGCGUUCAUCCUGACUAAAAUCAGGCACUGAACGGGGAGUACUCCACCGCCGUGCUCAGCACGUAGCGAACUCCUGCAAAAACUCAACGCAAUUUUCCCCUGCUACACAUUAUCUGACG